AGAUCUCUCAAGUGUUUAAAUUAAGGAUCGCAAGUUCUUGAAACUUGACAAGCCAGGCAGGAUUGUCACUGCUGCUGUCUGAAGCAGAGGGAAAAAAUAUUUGCCUCUCUCUGUCACCUGGCUGAAGAAUAAAAAAAAAAAGAGGAAAAAAGUUACUGUGUGCAGUUAAUAUCGAACAGCAGCCAUCUCCAGAUGAUCCCUGCUGCAUCCAAUUUCUGCCAAAAUGCUUUCUGUUAAACCUCCAUCAAACAGACACACGGCGCACAAAAGAAAACCUCAUCACCAAGGGAAACUAAUCCACCGGUGCGCAAUGUAAGCCUGUCAACUUUUUAUUAUAAGAAGUCAUCACUCAUUUCAGUGAAGAUUAAAAGUAUGACUAAAUUGAGAAAAUCCUCUUAGCCAUUUGGAAUUUUAAUAGAGGAGAAAAGGGGGAUGGAGUUAAAUAGGUAACCGGUCUCAAAGAGGGAAAGGGAAAAAACCAGGAAUAGCUUCUGCUGAAUAUUUUAGCUGAUGUUAUCUCAUUCAUGUGGCAGACCAGUAACAGGAAAAUAAAUGACUCUCAUCCUUUUGCUUUGUUCUCAAUGAAGAAGGAGAGCAUUUGAACAGGGAAAUGAAUUCGGCCAACAACCAAUGGGCUUGGAGGAUGCCUCCAGCUUCAAGUGAGACCUACAGCCUGGCCAACACCCUGAGAUCAGCCUGAUAAAGUCCUGAGCAGAAAAUCCAGCCAUACCUGGAGUUUUGAUGAAAAAACAGUGAGAUAAUAAAUUUGUGCUGUUUUAUGCCAC
rnacentral:lncRNA from 1 species